rnacentral:misc_RNA from 1 species
CACCAACAAAACAUUUCCAAAUACAUUCUACUUAAAACGAACAUUUUCCGAGCGUUUCAUCUUACGUUCUGACAACAGGACAACUGUCAUUAAUAUGGAUGCACCAAGACAUGGACCAUGGUUUGCAGCUGCACUUUUACCAAACCCCAAUGAAAAAAUACAACAGAAGGGUAUCCUCACCAAAUGUAAAUACUCUGUACGUGGUAUGUUGGUCACUCAGACGAGGAAAGGUUAUGGACAAGCUGUGGCCAAUACAAUUGUUACAACAACAUUAAUGCAUGGUUUUGAGUCCAAGAUGAAAUACUAUAAAAUUGUCCUCCCUCCUCUGAGCUACCUGUACUAUUUUUCUGUACUCAACUGUACCGUUGACUCGGUGGACACUGGAGGAUGUCCUAUCUAUGUAUCCAUCGGCAACGGUAACAUGCCACCUUUUGAUGUCGAUGAGUUUCUCAUCAACUGUACAAAUUCUACGGAGAACUGUCACCUUCGAGUUGUGUCACCCAAUAGCUCAGGGUUAAACUUUGUUGCCUUCUAUCUCCGUGAUAUCAACAGUACAGCACCUGUCACUGUCACAUGGCAGGUAACCACUGAAGAAUGUGAAGCAAAGUCAUCACAUAUCUUCAUGGAGAAUUCCACAGAUGAAUCAAUGGCAGCUAACAAAAGCCAGGUGGCCUCAGAAUUUCAGUCCAAGUGUAUUAUACUUCCUAUGUUGGGACAGUUCAGUAGUGCCAGUGAGAACUUCAACAGUAUUUAUGUCUUUCCCAAUGAAUUUCUCAUGCCAAAGAGGAACAACACUUUAGUUGUUCCUGACACUCACAGUCUGAUAACUGGUUUCAAUGUCCGUUUUCUAUCCAAUUCCGGAGGUACCAUUGGUAUAACGUUGCAUUUUGAUAAACAAAAACUUUCAGAGAACCAGACUGCUACCAUCUAUAUGUGCAUUGUCAAAGAUGGUUUCCCUGAUGUUCACAAUUUAGAGAAUUGUUCCAAUGGUGCACUGCUUUCUAUUGAGUCUGCAGACGAUCAACAUCAUCAUCAAAGAAUUCAUAUACCAUAUCCAGAGUUUGGGGACUAUUAUGUAGCUUUAAUAAGUCGGUGCUACUCCAUAGAGAGAAAUCAGACUGUGGAGCCAUGUCAUACAUUUCCAACUGCACGUUUCACUAUCAUUCAAUCUCGAUGUUUAAAUGAAAAAUGUGGCCAUUAUGGUCACUGUGCUGAAUACAUUAGUGGAUUAUUUGUAUUUAGUGCAUGUCGAUGUUUUGCUGGAUGGAAAGGUUAUGUAUGUACUGAUGACACUGAUGCCAACUCUGAUAGUUUGGAACUGUUGGCGGUAAUGUUGUUAACCCUCAGUAAUGGAUUCUUCAUCCCAGCUAUCAUCUUGGCUUUCUACCGACGCUUUUACCUUGAAGGGGUUGUAUAUAUCUUCACAAUGUUCUUCUCAGCAGUGUACCACGCAUGUGAUGCCAGCAACUUGUACCAAUAUUGUAUGAUGAAAUAUGAUGUUUUGAGCUUCAGUGACUUUCUUGGUAGCUAUAUGGCAGUAUGGGUAACAUUAAUGGCCAUGGCUCGCCUGCCUGAUAAACUUCGGACAAUAUUCGAUGUGAUGGGUGCCUUGUUCUUGGCAUUAGCUGUUGACUAUGACAAACAUAGUUUACUUUUAAAUGUUGUUCCCUUAGUACUUGGUAUAGGAAUGGUCUUCUUAUCUUGGGGUUACCAAUGUCGAUUGAGGCAUCAUUGUUACCCAACGUGGCGUCGAUACGUCUUCUGCUUACUACCCGGAGUGCUACUGGCUCUGGUGGGCCUUCUUUUGUUCACACUGUUUGAGACCGAAACAAAUUAUAAAUAUGUUCACAGCAUCUGGCAUGUACUCAUUGCCACAUCAAUAGUGUUCCUGUUGCCAGGACGACGGGAACUACCAGAUGGCAGCAGUAAAGCCUGCCUAUACAUAUCCAAACUGAUUUCACUAAAAGUUCUUGGUCCUCCACCUCGUGACUGAAUAAUGAAGAAAAUAAGUCAAAUGAGUGAACUCACACAAUCUGAGAGCCGUGUGGAUAGAAGCAUAAUAACCAAAGGAUACGGAACUGGUUCAAAGAAAUGGUUGAUGUUUAACAUGAACUGCAGCAAGAAAAGAAUUUUGAUUUUCAGAGUUGGAGCUUGAUUUUAUUGUACAGUUGCCAACACAAGCGACCCACAAGAUCAAAAUUCUCUUGUUAUUC